AUUCUACUGUACCCCCAAUUUUUUAAGGGGGUUACGGUACCCACUUAAUUCUUAGCCAUAGAUCUUGCUUAUUUUAAUCUGGUCCGUUUAUUUAAUUUUAUUAAGAUACCUGCUACCGAUCAUCUAGGUUUUAUAUAAAACCCAAAAAAACAAAACAAAGUUCUUCUUUUGACAAAGAGUUUGAGAGAGAUCACGGUUCUUCUAUCUAGCCGCCUCUCUCAAACCUUCAUGGCUCCUGUGUUUGGUAUUCAAAUCAAGAUUUUGAUUUUUAAUCAUUUUCCUCUCUAUUGGUUGAAGUCACUGGAACCUAGAAAGAUCAAAUCCUACACCUACAUGACCUUCAUUGAGUCAUGAAGAAUGGAGGAAGUUCUUUUGGAGCAACUUAAGAAGUCCAAAAUACAAAUUGUCCACAGAUGUUUGUUGCAAGAGAAAAUCACAGAAGAUCGAUCACACAUGCAAUGACUUAGGGAGUCAAGCGGCACUAGAGUGAUAUAUUUGUUAAGAAGUUAUUGUCUUGCAGUUAGAAGCUUUAUCUAGUUAGUUUCAACUAUAAAAUAGUUAAUUUUCUUCUUUUGACAAAUAGGGGUAGAUGUCUUGAACUAAGCUGAGGUAUUUUUAGAUUUCUGUAAAUGCAAAGGCUAAUAAGGCAUUUCAACAAAA